CUUCAGACUGUUUUUUUGCCUUCUUUUGGAUCAACAGCAAAAACAUACGUGAGGAAGGCUGAAUUUGAUGGACGCGAGUCUCUUUUCAGCUAUGUAACUGUAAUGUAACAAUGCUGACACAAGUGGUAACAAGACAACAUGAAAUGGGACUUCACUCCACCAAUUACAACAAGAUGAUCACACUACUAACUAGGCAACCAAUUAUACAAUAAUCUAG